rnacentral:rRNA from 1 species
UACGGGAAGGGCAAGCGUUAUCCGGCGUGACUGGGCGUAAAGAGUCCGUAGACGGUAAAGUAAGUUUAUUGUUAAAUGUUAAAACUUAAUUUUAAUUAGAGCAAUAAAUACUGCUUUACUUUGAGUUUAAAUAUAGAAAAGUAGAAUUUUAUAUGGUAGGGGUGAAAUCCGUAGAUAUAUAAAGGAAUGUCAACAGCGAAGGCAACUUU